AGUUACUGCAAACACUGCCAGCGCCCCUCCCCCAUACCCUGGAAUCCUACUCCCGUACUUGACAGGAGGCCGUUCCAAUAUAUUUUUUUCUCUUUCGGAUCUCAUCGUAUCCUGCCGUGGGGUUUCUGAGUACGAGGACAAAACUUGGAUAAACAAAUACUAUGGACGGAUAUACGAAGAAAAUACUUCUUUAACCAAGGGGUGUAUUCGACCCAGAUUUAGUACGAUGCCCGGUAAAGCGCCAUGUCCCGGAGGUCUGAUAGUCAUUGGCAUCAUGGCUCUCUGCGCUGCCCAUACCCGCUCGGAGAUAUGGAGCAAUGAAGUUUCAGACACGGAGUACGGGAAGCUGGGAUCCAAUGUCACGCUGGUGUGUAAGCCCUCCUGGACUGGGUAUCCUGUGGAAUGGCGGUUGAAUGGCAGCGCAGUGUUACCACGGCAGACGCUGCCGUCCAAUAGCACGCUGACGCUCAUCAACACUGACCUAUCCAUGGAGGGCAACUACAGCUGCCUGGACCAGAAGGGCAACCUGCUCUGGGCCACCAAACUCAGGCUGGGCCACCUGCCUGGUCUCGUCAGCAUCUCGUGUUGGAUGUUUAACCACCAUAGCCUCCACUGUUUCUGGGAGCAGUCAGUGAAGACACACCUGCCCACCAAAUACCUGGCCUCCUACAGGGAUUGGUCAAACAGGGUGGAGCCGUGCCUCCAGGACUCCUCCCGGCCGAACAAGUGCACGAUCCUGGACCCCUCUACGUGGCAGCACUACCACACAAUCAACAUCACCGAGCUCAACCCCCUGGGCACGGAGACCACGCUAGCUCGAGUGCAGCUACAUGACCUGUUGAAACCGGACCCCCCAGAGGAGGUGACCCCAGAGGCAGUGGUGGGGCACCCCAGGAGGCUGCUUGUGCGAUGGAGAUACCCCUCCUCCUGGCCCCUGCACGACUCUUACCCGCUCUGCUUCCAGCUCCGCUACCGGCCCCUGGGCUCCAUCCACUGGUCCCUGGUGAACAGCUCCCAGCUGUCCCUGGUGAUCACAGACGCGCUGGCGGCCCACGCCCACCAGGUGCAGGUGCAGGCGAUGGACGCGCUGUUGUACGGCCACUGGAGCGACUGGAGCCGGGAGGUGCAGGGCUGGCCCUGGAGGGAACCCAAGCCCGAUCCUGAAGUGUCCGAACCUCCUGAUGAAAUUCCUACCAUUCCGGAUUAUACAGAAAUGGAGAGCUCCACUACCAGAUCACCAGACGCAGACGGAGUGGCGUACAGGAGCCUCGGGGUGCUCAUCUCUCUCGGCCUGUUUGCGGGGGUCUUCCUGUCCAUCCUCUCCGCUCUCAUCGUCUUUCUCUGGGUUAGGCAGAGGCAACGGGGUGGGAUAACAAAGCAAGAACUGACCUCAAUGGUGAAGAUGAAGUCCCUGCCGUUAUAAGUUUAUUUUCGUGCCAUGCCUUGGCCAAUGAGGGAGCCUGAGCUCUGAGGUCAUUCCCAGACGGGUUUGGCCGUUUUCCUCACAUUCCUCACGCCGAUGAUUAGAUGGCCGGAUUGGUGCACUCCCAACGCAAGCCCCCCCUUUGGGUGUCCUGAAAGGGGAGCGCUACCACUGCCAGCAAUCAGGGCAGACAUUACCCACAACCCACCUGGCUCCUGUGCCUUCUGGCUGCUAUUCCUGGGUCCACGUCCUUCCAGUGGAUUUUUUUUUUUACUGUGAACUUUUAACUUGUACAACCUCUUUAGCACAAACAGCCGAUAAGGAAAAUGAUCACAUUCAUGGAUUCACUUCACAAACUGACCUGAACCAAAAAAAAAAGAAUAUCGCUCUUGGUUCUCGAUUAUUUUUUGUAUCUUUAUUAUUAUUUUUUAUCUGAAUACACAUUUAUAGAAAAAGGUUUGUUUGGCAUUUCAGCUUUGUGACUACUGGUCCUGCUUGUGGUCCUAGUGGACCGCUGAGAAAGGAUGAAGUUCACUCUGUCAACGGAGAGCAGUGUUUUGGGCAUUACUGACUGACACACUUUUAUUUUUGUAUCGGAGUAAAAAGAGAAGAUGGAUGGAGAAGAAUGCUUGCCGGGAGGCUGCUGCUAUCUGUUAUGGAGAGAGGAGGUGUGCUGUCAGCGUCACCAUGGUGCAUGCGCAAGCAGAACCAGGGCUGAUUUUAAUGUGCCACAGGACACCUUAACCCCUACACGCAUGCCAACCCAUGGAAGGUUGGGUUGGGUUACCCUAACCCUGACCCCCCACAUGGAUGUAGUUUGUGUUACAGAUGGAAGGUUGGGUUGGAUUGGGUUGGGUUACCCUAACCCCCCACAUGGAUGUAGUUUGUGCGACUGACGGAAAGUUGGGUUGGGUUGGAUUGGGUUGGGUUACCUUAACCCCCCACAUGGAUGUAGCUUGUGUGACUGACGGAAGGUUGGGUUGGGUUGGGGAAGUCUUUUUUUUCUCUACCUCCUUGUGCUCCUUCCGUCCUGGCUUGUGGAAGCCCCAGUUUGGAUGAAGUGAAGCUCAUCGUCUUUCCGCCCCAAUGGACUGCUUGACCGUAGGAUAGGGGAGAGAACACGUCACCGUGGGCCUUCCUGUUCAUUUCACAUUGCAUCAAAACCAGGAACUUCAUUUUCAGUUCUUCGGUUGAACAUUGACUUGAGUGAUUCAGACUUUUUACAAAGGGACUAAGAGGAAUGUGAUUCCAUUUCAAAACUGUCUCUUGGAUGUAUGACUCAUGAGAAGGGUCACAUGAUCAGAUGAGGUCACAUUAAGUUGAUUCCCAAAGGGCCUGUCAUCACAUUACUGUUGGGGGGAAAAAAACAAUCAUGCUUCUGCAAGAGAACGCAAUUGUGAAGUUGUGAAGGGAAAAAUGUAAUUGGGAUUGUUUCAUUGUUUGUGUCAAUACAAAAAACAUGAUGCCUUGCAUUUUUGUAAUGCCUAUCUGAUUUUCAGUGGUGGGAAAUUACAGGCGAGCAGUGAGACCCAACAGCCAGCUACUCUAAAAUGGCUGCCGCAGGUUCAACUGCUUCGUCUUCCUCCCAGGUGCUGACCUGUUCUUCAGAAUCUCUGCAUACGUCUCUUAAAUUAAGAGGGUGCAUUUCAACUCCAGAAAGUAUAAAAUCAAGAUCAUUGUAGUAAAAUAUUUGGACAUAUUCACAUUUUGAAAUGGAAUAGGCAUUUAAUUUGGCAUAAUAAUUACAAGUUCCUCUAAACAGUGAGGUGCUGUAACAUUAAAAGAUACCUAUUGCAUUGUAAAUGAACCAGCAUAUUAAGUUUCUCCUGCCAGAGCUCUCCAUCCAGACAUAGGUAUGAUAAUCACUUUAAACUUUACUAUGUAUAUUAUAUUAACCUACAAAUGAAAAGUUAUUUUAGUUUGUAUACAUAUAUAUCUGUAUAUAUUUUUUCUCUGUUGGUGUAAAAUGACUGAUCUGUUGAAUAGAUGACCCCAUAUAACUUCUGUGACAUGUACACAUGCAGUAAUGUUAAGCUUACAAUACUUUUUGCCCCAUUUAUAUAGCAUUAGCGCUGCCAUUUCUUUUAUUUUCAAAUUGGAAAAAAACAUCAAACCAGCCAAUAAGGCUUUAGGAAUUUACAUAUAGGAAGUUUAGAAAAUGGAAGACUAAUAUGAUUUCUUGCUGUUUCCUUAUGACCAUGCAAUUCUUCCAUUAGGACUUUCUUUUCAAAAUGUAUUUUCCUAUCUUUUGCCCCCUAGAAGAUCUUUAGACUAGCCAUGUAUGACCGACACCCAAGACCCUCGAGUGAAAGAUUGGCACCCACCUUUUAGGAACUCCCAGAUAGAAGUUAAAUUGAUAAAUGUGGUAAAUAUAUCAGUAAUAGGAACUAAGAAACAUGUACUGUGCUUAAAAACUAAUUUGGACAUGUUUCUGAUUUAAAGAAAGUACAGAAUAGAAACCUGUGCAUAUUAGCAGAAAAAAUAAUUUAAAACCAAGUAAAGAAACUUUAUUUUUGAGUUGGUUGCCUGAAAAUACUGUUCAGGACUCAUGCCAUUGGUGGCACAAAUAGCCGCGAAUAAAAUGUGCUCCCGGUUCAUGAAUACACAACACGUCUUUCACUCGCUAGAUUUAAUUUUGACCAGCAUACACAGUUUAAUACGUGGGCCUGCUGUUUCUGGAGCUUGUAGGUUUGUGAGGACCGCAUAAGAGCCCUAUAGCAGAUAUAAUGUAAUGACUUGUUAAUGUGCUUGAGUAUCAUUUUUAGCUGAGGACUCUGCUCAUAUUAGCCGCAGAAAGAAGCACCUUGUCCAUUUGUUUUUUAUGGUGCACAGGGAGCUUCUAAAAGCAUUUUUGAAGAAUACCAACAAAUACAUUUUAGAUUAAUGUAAAAAAUGGUUUCACUCUGAAAUUGUAGAGCAAGGUUGUGUAAAAUGCUGUACUCUUUUAAUUAUUUAAGUAGCCCAAAGGUUUGUUUGAUGAGGUGUUUUCAUAUAGUCAUACAUGUUUGAUAAAGCUGCAGUUGUGAACAUGUAUUCUCUGUAAACUCAUUUGACUGUGGUCUCCUGGAGGGAUGAACCAGCAUUGAAGCUUGCCUCACCUCAGCAUACCUCACGCUGUGUACGCUUGCUUUUUAUUGCCCUUUCUGAUUGGAUAACAAAGUUUGAGAUUAUAAAUCCAGUUUGCAUAAUGAUUGAAAGUGCUUGGGUUGGUGAGUCUCCUGGGUUCUGACACUUCAUGUCAGAACAGUGAAAAGAAAGUUGAGUUUCUUAACACUGAAGUUUCUUGUAGUUCAGUUUUUGCUGCCAUUGAGUCGGGUUUUCUCUUUUGUUUUGUAAUUUGGAAUCAACUGAUAGAAUUCAUGUAUCACUUUGCAAGCGCAAGUUUUUGAUACCCACCAAAUGAACCGAUGCAUUUUCUAUUAGAACGACAGUACUCGAUUUAGUUAAAGGUAUACAAUGGUAUCAAAUGUCAGUUUGAGUUAAAUAUAGGCUGCCAAGCCAUUAACAGUUGCAUAUAAAUUACCGGAAAAUGUCUGGAAACAUGGACAUUAAAUGUAAACAUUCAACAAGUUUAAACUAUUUAUCUCGGCUGUUUUUCUUAUCCAAUGGCAAUGUUGUUAGAAAUUGAGGCAACAUGUCAUGCUUGCAUGUUAUUAGAAUUUGCGUCCAGAACAUUUCUUGUACAAACAGUGAUAUUUUAAGGCAGGUGUAUGUUAAGCAUUAAAGUGCUUUUGAUUGCUAUUAGACUGGAGAAGUUGCUUGAGGGUUUUCUGUUGUUGUUGAAGGAUGGAGAAUGUGAAGAUUCAGGUUUUAAAAUGGUAUUCUGGGGCAGCUACACCCACUUCAAAUUUCAGCAGAAACAACCGUUUAAUUUGUCAGAACUAGCUUUGGAAGGAAUUGUGAAUAAACCACCUGCCAAUAACUGUGGAAUUGACGGACAUUGUUUUUAAGCAUAGUGCAUAGGUAUGUGAGUUUCUGCUUGAACUUUCCCAUUGAAUUUGUGUUGGACUGAUACAGUACGUGCUAUUUAUGACACGUGGUAGUCGUGUUUUAAUGCGCGAUUAUUCAAAAAAUUUCCAUGAAUAGACACCGCUUGUGGUGGUCGUGUUGAGCCGGUGCAGGCAUGCUGCUGUUGACUGUGGUGCAGCGGAGCGCGUAGAGAUAGCGUUUAUGCUGUCGUCCCGUUUUCCGUAGCGGCAGCGACUUGGUGAAAAAACGCUUGCCCAUACCACACACUACAGAGAGAAAUUCCAAAACAAACGCGAUCUUUUCCCUUUUCUGCCGCGUGUUUCUUUGUGAUGUGUCGAGCUCUCUCUAGUAGGUGACUCAGUCACCACAAUGGUCGGAUUGCGUACGUUCUCUUGUUUGUACAGAACCAGACUCAGCAAGGCAUGGUUGCUGUGGUUACUCUGGGUGGCCAUUUUCAUUUCUGUUGGAACUGAUUUCAAAGCCAAAGGCUCAAGGGAAGAAACACACUCAGGUUAUCCUGACAAUGAUACUACACGUAGAAACCUAAUAUAAGUAAGUCAGACUGAGAAUUCACCUUUGUUAUUGAAUGAUAAACACUCCAAACACUAAAAGUAGGAAAUGAGAGAACAAAAGUGUGUUGCUGUGUCUGGUCUUUUGAACUGGGUCAAGAGGUUUUGUCAACAGUGUAUAUAUAAAAUUUCUUUUUAGGAUUAUACAUUUCAUUCAUUUCAAUUGAAUAGUUUUUGUUGGGCUACUAUAAAAUUUUAUCCAUACUACCGAUAAGGAAAAUCCCCCAGUUGUCUGUGCUGUAUAAAUAAUUCAGGAAAAUGUAUCUUAUUGUGUAGCUACCCAGCCUAAGACAAAACAUUCUCACAAUGUUGAUGCAGAACAUUCCAGUAAUGUUGUGAGAAUAUUUUGCUGGUAGUUCAUCAGUUCCAUAUGAUUGGUAGCCCUUGGUUGUGUGUCUUUGGCACGAAACAUUUUAUUUUCAUAAAUGGAGCUGAAAAUGAGCCCAUAUUAAAUGACAAUAAGUAUGCUUACUAUGUGUGUACGACUAUAUAAGAAAUAAGCUCUUUUAUAAUUAUCUGUGUUUGUACUUAUGUGAAAUAAAUGCUAUUUUAUCA